rnacentral:rRNA from 1 species
UACGUAGGGGGCAAGCGUUGUCCGGAAUCAUUGGGCGUAAAGCGCGUGUAGGCGGCCCGAUAAGUCCGCUGUGAAAGUCCAGGGCUCAACCCUGGAAUGCCGGUGGAUACUGUCGGGCUCGAGUCCGGAAGAGGCGAGUGGAAUUCCUGGUGUAGCGGUGGAAUGCGUAGAGAUCCGGAAGAACACCGGAGGCGAAGGCGGCUUGCUGGGCGUGAUCUGACGCUGAGGCGCGAAAGCGUGGGGAGCGAACAGG